UUUUUUAAGCGCCAGAGCCGAGAUGCAGAUAUCGGUUGACGAGGUGGAAGUUAUCGAUUUUUCGGCGGAUACUUCUCGCCCUUUAGCACAGGGUCGUAGGUCUUUAACAAAGAGUAGGAGUAAUUCUACUUACAAAAUAAAGAUAAC
rnacentral:ncRNA from 1 species